AAAGCGGAAGAAGAAACUAUGCAUUAUUGGGUGAAAGCUUGUCCCUCUAAUUUCUCUAUAACUCUUCCUAAACCUCGCAGACAUUCAUCUCUUUCUCUCUCUACGAAUUAUCUUCAAUUUUUUUUACAAUCAUUUUCAUGGAUUACUCCUGUGGGGUUUUAGUGGCCACUCCUCUGUUAACAUCAGAAAUUCGAAGAUCGUCGUGUUUGGUGGCCUCGUCGACAGGAAAUUUAUAAGCGAUAUCGCCGUUUUAUGACUUCGGUUUUGGUGCAUUUGAAAGUUGAUUUUGGCUCAAUCCUUAUCCCAUCUAUUUGAAGGUUGAUUUUGGCUCAAUGCUGAAGUAGGAAAGACUAAGAAUGGAACGUUAUCUUUAUUUCCUCUCUCAAAGGCUUCUGCGGCUCAUAAAUCUGUUCUUGCUGGUGAUUUAAAAAUGGCCAACUUCAAAUAAUUUCUUGCCAACAAGGGAAUAUAGGUACCUUUGCUUAUGGACCCCUAUGAAAGAAAACAAAUAUCUCCUUUUGAUAUGUGUAUGAACUAAAAUCUGCAAUUUAGUAAGAAAAGCAAACGAUAUUGCCGUCCUAUAUGCAUUGUAGGUUGAAUUUGCUGGGGGUGCUUUGAGAUGUGGCGAGUAUGUCACCCUGCGCAAGGGUACAAAUGCAAGUCAAAAGGGUGGUGGUUCUGGUACACAACAAGUUGUCAUUGAAGGGCCCUUAUGUGAGGAUUAUUAUAAAAUUCAGGAUCUAUUGUAUUCACAAUUUUAUUUGUUAUAAUUGAGAAACCUCGUUGAACAUGGAAGAUAUGACCCCAUCAAUUUGAAUUGCCUAGUUGGAAAUGUAUUGAUUUUUUUCUC